AUGAAGUUCUUCUUGGUCCUGCUGCCGGCCAGCCUAGCCUCCACCUCUCUCGCCAUCCUUGAUGAAGGAUGCUGUCAAAAGAGCACACACCCCAAGAGGACAAUUUCAAAAAUGUUAAGCUCCAAUUAGAAGAGACUACAGAACUGGCUCCCAGGGCUACCGCCUCAGAGGGAAAACUUGCCAAACUGGCCCAUAAAAUCGGGAAGAAUCUGGACAAAGCAUUGAAAGGAAUCAUAAACUAUCUGAAAAACCUAAUCCCUAGCGCCAAUGAUGUCAUGAGGCCCU
rnacentral:sRNA from 1 species